AAUAGCUCAGUAGGAUAGAGCGACUGCCUCCUAAGCAGUAGGCCGGAGGUUCGACUCCUCUUUG
rnacentral:tRNA from 2 species